AAAUAUAAUAAUAUAUUAAAUAUAUUUAAUAAUAGGUAGCUGCAUGUAAUUUUGAAUAGUGCAAAUAAUCAAUAAUAAUAAAUUGAUUAUUUAUUGACUUUUAAAAUAAAUACUGACAGUGACUUUGUUGACUUGUGCAACGUACAGUAGCUUUUAGAGUUUCUAGCUUCUAAUGCUACGGCUUUUACUUUAAUGCUGAGUUCUGUUUGUACGUAAAAGUCGUUGUGUUGAAUCUACUCGUAGUUUACUUACAGUGCACUUUGAUCUGACAGGUCAGACUGUCUUUUUGGUGGUAACUAGCAUUAAGCUAACAGCUUGAUUGAGCUCUAAAACCAAGCGUGCUGAAUUGAGAGACUCACGUGCACCUGAAUCUCAGUGUCUGCAUUUAGAGAAACACAGUGAAAGCAGCGAUCUGCUGUUCCGACAUGAUCGGAGCAUUUGAUUGAGCUCUAAAACCAAGCGUGCUGAAUUGAGAGACUCACGUGCACCUGAAUCUCAGUGUCUGCAUUUAGAGAAACACAGUGAAAGCAGCGAUCUGCUGUUUCCGACAUGAUCGGAGCAUGUAAACAGAGUAAAAUAUUCCCUGCGUGGACCCCAGCCAAUGUUUAUAAAGCACUACUCAUCAGACAGAUGGGACAAUAACUUCACAAAGCACAGCUAUUUAAAGCAGCGGAACUGAUCACCCUGCUGAAGAGCUAGAUGAAGACAGUGGGAGAGUGCUGCAUCAUCCUGCAUCUCCCACCUGCAUUUCACAAACACAGAAAACAGAAAUGUGUGUUAGGCCAGCUCUCAAAAACAGGUAAAACACAGAUCUUCCUCAAGCAUAAACUUUUAAAGUUUCACAAUAAUCUGUUGUGGGGGAUAGCAAGAUUACAUUAGCACUGUUUCAGCCUCAAGCAGCACAGCCAGUGUCCACUUACCGCAUGUCUGCUGCAUAUUACACACAAAAAUGCAAGCGUUAGAUGAAAUCACCAAUUUAUAUCUGUUUGGCUGGUAUUAAGCAACUUAUAGAAGUUAGGGUAUACUGGCUUCUUUAUGAGUCUGCCUGGAAUUUAAAAGCUGGAAUACACUUUUGCCUAGAUUUUGCCCUGAUUUGCAGUCUGGAUUAGUCGACCCUAGUUGCUGAAAGUCAGAGCCAGUCGGAGUUGACAGAUUUCACAGAAAAUCGUAUAGUGGAUAUAUUUAUUAGUUUAAGACUAUUAUUCAAUCUAGUCUAUGGAUAAGCCACAUUUGAUAUUGUGAGCUAAAAAAAUUGUAAUUCUUUUAGAACACUUCAUUUUUCACACAUCUCCUUAGAAUGAUUUCUGAAGGACCAUGUGACACUGAAGACUGAAGUAAUGGCUGCUGAAAAUUCAGCUUUCACGGGAAUAAAUUAAAUUUUAAAAUAUUAAAAUAGAUAACAGUUCUUUUCAUUUGUAAUAAUAUUUUACAAUACUAUUGUUUUACUGUAUAUUUGUUUGAAUAAAUGCAGCCUUGGUGAGCAU
rnacentral:lncRNA from 1 species